UGUUUGUUUUUGUUUUACGAGACAGGGUUUCUCUGUGUAGCUUUGGAGCCUGACCUGGUACUCGCUCUGUAGACCAGGCUGGCCUCGAAAUCACAGAGAUCCGCCUCCCUCUGCCUCCCAAGUGCUGGGAUUAAAGGCAGUCGCCACCAACGCCCACCCGGCUUUGAUCUGCACAGAUGUGAGGAGGAGAAUGCAUUGUGGGGAGCGCUGGGUAUGGAAUGGAAGGCCUGGAACUCUAAAGCCUCUUGAGUUGCUACACAGGAAAUAAAUCUACCAAAAC
rnacentral:lncRNA from 1 species